CUUCCGUAGGGUGAACCUGCGGAAGGAUCAUUACCGAGUUCUCGGGCUCCGGCCCGAAUCUCCAACCCUUUGCCUACCUUACCUCUGUUGCUUCGGCGCCGCGGCGGCCUCGCGCCGCCGCCCGCCGGAGGACCCUCAAACUCCAGUCAGUGAACGUCGCAGUCUGAAAACAAGUCUAAUAAACUAAAACUUUCAACAACGGAUCUCUUGGUUCUGGCAUCGAUGAAGAACGCAGCGAAAUGCGAUAAGUAAUGUGAAUUGCAGAAUUCAGUGAAUCAUCGAAUCUUUGAACGCACAUUGCGCCCUUUGGUAUUCCGAAGGGCAUGCCUGUUCGAGCGUCAUUACAACCCUCAAGCUCCGCUUGGUAUUGGGCACCGUCCGCCUCGGCGGACGCGCCUCGAAGACCUCGGCGGCGGCGUCAAGCCCUCAAGCGUAGUAGAAUCUAUCUCGCUUUGGAGGCGCUGGGCGUCGCCCGCCGGACGAACCUUCUGAACCCACUUCUCAAGGUUGACCUCGGAUCAGGUAGGAAUACCCGCUGAACUUAAGCAUAUCAAUAAGCGGAGGAA
rnacentral:rRNA from 1 species